GGAAAAGUUCUGCUCUGAUCCAGAUGCGCUCUGGAUUAAAACCGUCUGAAAGGUCUGAAGGAGAUUGUGGACUGAGCAAAUGGAGGCCUAGAGGAUGCUGCAAAUCUAUCUAUAUAUUAAUAAAUCUAUCUAUUAAAAAGAGAAUAUAUAUAUAUAUUAUGCAUGUUUAUUUAAGCAAAACAAAUUACUAUUAGAUCCUCUUUUGCUUAUGUGAAUGUUAAGAGAUGUUUAAUUGCUUUGUUUAAUCUGCUUUAAAAUUAAAAUGCAAUUUUUGAAAAAUA